UCAGCUUCAACCUUCUAACACCAUAACAGAAAGAAAAUAAAAUCAUUCCUUUAGCACAAGUAGAAAUUUCCCAAGAAGGACUCUGCUUGGCCUGACCUGGUCCUGUGCCUAUUCCUGAACCACUGCAGACUGGAGGAUGGGGUCCUCUGAUUGGGUGAUACUGGGUCAUGUGCUGCCCCUGUGGUUGUGUCUAUGGUGGCUGGGGGGAGGGGAUACCUGACUAAAAGUCCCUUCAAUCAUUCGGAGUAGAAAAGAGGCUCUGUUAAUCAAAGAAAGGAAAUAUGAAAGACAAGCUAGUGCUACCAUGGUCUGCCACAAAUUAAAGCAUUAUUAUUUCCUAAUGCUUGAGAUUAUUCACUACCCUUCCACCCUGCAUUACUGUGAAGAGUGUGUUGUUCAGUAGCUGUAGUUAUAUGCCUAUGUGAUAUAAAACAAGCCUAGAUUUUCCUAUUGGGAAAACAAACUACUUGCUGAAUUAAGAUAUUUCACCCCAGCUGUACAAUUAUUCUUCACCACUACCCUUUUGGAGCACUCUAACACUAUCACAAAUGAGAUAUUACUUUUCCAUAUGCUACUUUCAUGUGGACAUGUUUUUAAAAGUCCUGAAAAAAAGUAGUAACUAUCUCCAUUACUAAAAGACUAGAAAUUUAAAGGGCAUUCAUUUGCUCAGUAUGUCUCCCGAGUGUUUUCACAAAUAUCAAGAAGUCAGUCUGGUUUGGGGGAAAAAAAGUAGUGUGUUUAUCAGUUGUACUUGCUGAGGCACAUAAACAAAUAGUACUGGGACUAUGGAAAUGAUAUAUGGAUAUGUUUCCAGAAAUUUAAACAGAAGAGUUAUUCAGAGAGCAAAAGAAGGUGUCUGGGAAGUGAUAACCCUUUAAGGGCCUACUAGAAAGAUUAGAGAUAUAUAGGUGAAUGAUAACUUACGUAAAAAUUGAAGGUGAACUGGUAGUCAAUUCAAGUUUAAAAUCACAAUAAAGAACACCUUCUCUUUUCUCCCAAAUUGUUUUACUCAUCAUUUCUAAGUUUCUAUUUUAUGUUUUCUUUUUUUCUUAACAACGUAGUUCUCAGAAUUUGUCUAUUUUAAAGACCAUUCUUUUGAGUCUACUCAUAAUCUCAUUGAUAUAAGUUUAGUGUUUUGUUUUCUCUUAUGUGUUGCUAUUAUUAUCUCCACUUUACAGAUAAUAAAACAGAGGCACAGAGAUGAUAAAUAACGACCAAGCUUGUGCAGCUGGUUAGUGACACAGCCAGCAUAUGGACCAAGACAGGCUGACUCCAGAGCACAUGCUCUAAACUCUCCCAUCUUGCUGCAUUUUCACCAAAUUCAAGGCUGGUAUGAUGACUCUCUGCUCCAUGAACACAACCUUCUUGCCUCAGUGCUCUACUGUCUCCAGGUAUGGCCCUCAUCCUCAUUGUCUGAGAUAGUGGCAUGAUGUUUCUGGUGGGAGGAUGGAGGAAGGCAUAGAGAAGAGAAACAAGGGCAUAUGUCAGCUGUCUCAGGAUUAGCUUCUAGUGAACUGGAGAGUACACAUUUGGAUGUCUCGGGAUAAGGGAGAGAGAGAAGAGUCAAUAGUGAAGAGAAAGUUUAUCACAUUCCUGAGAAAUAUCCUUUCUGAGCUUGCAGCAAAGUGAUUUCUGGCCUGUGGAGAAGAAGGGAGCUCAGACCUGUGCAACAGAAAAAUCAGCUUCGAGUGCCAUCUUAGAGCUAGUAUAAGGCUCAAAUAUUUUUG